rfam:Acetobacterium woodii DSM 1030, complete genome.
UUGAAAAAUUUCGCGUUCUAUGAUACACUUCCACUAAUAUAAUAGAAAAGUGAUGAGGAAAGGGGUGGAAGCCCCCUACAGCCCCCGCUACUGUAAUUACUGACAAUGUUCUUAAACCACUGUCUAACUGAUGGGAAGGAAGAACCAAGGAUGAAGUAAAAGUCAGGACACUCAUAAAUCAUAGAAAUUCUUC